GACGAACGCUGGCGGCGUGCUUAACACAUGCAAGUCGAACGGAAAGGCUCCAACUUGCUGGAUUCCUCGAGUGGCGAACGGGUGUGUAACACGUGGGUAAUCUGCCCUUCACUCUCGGAUAAGACUGGGAAACUGGGUCUAUUACUGGAUAUGACCUUUCUCCUUAUGGGGUUUGGUGGAAAGUUUUUCGGUGUAGGAUGGGCCUGCGGCCUAUCAGCUUGUUGGGGGUGUGAUGGCCUACCAAGGCGACGCCGGGUAGCCGGCCGGAGAGGGUGAUCGGCCACAUUGGGACUGAGAUACGGCCCAGACGCCAACGGGAGGCAGCAGGGGGGAAUAUUGCACAAUGGGCGGAAGUCUGAUGCAGCGACGCCGCGUGAGGGAUGACGGCCUUUGGGUGGUAAACCUCUUUCAGCAGAGACGUAGCGUAAGUGACGGUACCUGCAGAAGAAGCACCGGCUAACUAUGUG
rnacentral:rRNA from 1 species